GUAUGAAAUGAUGGCAUACCAUCUUUCGGGACUGACCGUAAUGGAGACACUCUUCUCAAUUUACUGAUCGUAC